rnacentral:rRNA from 1 species
GUGAGGAAUAUUGCGCAAUGGCCGAAAGGCUGACGCAGCGACGCCGCGUGGAGGAUGAAGUCCGUUAGGAUGUAAACUCCUUUUGCAGGGGAUGAAUAUGGCGCUACAGGCGCCAUUGACCGUACCCUGCGAAUAAGGGUCGGCCAACUACGUGCCAGCAGCCGCGGUAAUACGUAGGACCCGAGCGUUGUCCGGAUUUACUGGGUGUAAAGGGCGUGUAGGUGGGUUCCUAAGUCGGUGGUGAAAUCCUGCGGCUCAACCGCAGAAUCGCCUCCGAUACUGGGGAUCUUGAGUGCGGCAGAGGGAGAUGGAAUUCAUGGUGUAGCGGUGAAAUGUGUAGAUAUCAUGAAGAACACCGGUAGCGAAGGCGGUCUCCUGGUCCGCAACUGACACUGAGGCGCGAAAGCGUGGGGAGCAAACAGGAUUAGAAACCCCAGUAGUCC